AUACAUGGCCGACACGUGUCAAGGUGUGUUACCUGUUCUUAUCAGCUUAAUAUCUGAUACUGGUUGUACUUGGACCCAGGAUAAUGAACUUAUUUUUGCAAGUUGGCGAAGUGCUUCACGCCUCCUUCACCCCCGCCGCGGCUUUGCCCGGUAUAGCACUAUCUCCGAGAUCGACCCGCAGCUU